ensembl:snRNA U2 U2 spliceosomal RNA
AUUGCUUCUCAGACUUAUGGCUAAGAUCAAGUGUAGUAUCUGUUCUUAUCAGUUUAAUAAAACAGUCAAAGAAUAUUCGAUUGGCUUCUGUGAUUGAGUGAACAAACAAGAGUUGGACUGGCUGUAGUUAUCACAGUCAGGUGCCAUUUAUUACUAUCAUUUAUGCCAAACAGAAACUCAU